ACUUCCUAGCUUUCCUACUACCAAUAUUCCGACACUUCCAUCUCUCAACAUUCCACCAUUGCCGGCAGUCACUUCACUUCCCAACUUACCUUCAUUCCCAUCCACUUUUCCCUCCAUCCCAUUUCUCACCCCACCACCUUCAACCUCUAGCCCUUAAACUCUUCCUCACUUGUUAUCUUUGCAUGCAGUAGACAUAUUGCAUCAUCUCUUUAUUGUGUGUGAUGAAAUUGUACCAGGUUAUGAUGAUAGUAGUAUUUUUGUUGUAUUGUAUGGUGUGAAAGGCCUUUGUAAUUUUUUUUUUCUACUUACCAAUUUGGCACUAUUGUUUGUACUUUUGAAUUUAUACUAUGUUGAAUUACACAUUUAUAUAUAACUAUGAUUUCUUCUUUUGAACUCUUAUAGCAAAUAAUCUAAUCCGAUCUUAAUGAACAAUUUCAACAAGUGAAUCGUACAAAAUAAUAACAUCUUUAUGAGGAUUGUGUUUAAUUUCAAUUACAGCAAAUGUAUCACUAUUUGAAUAGGAUAACAGUCACCGUGAGCUUAGCUCAGUUGAUAAGGACAUCACACUAUAUAUGUAGGAGCCCAGGUUCAAACUCGGGACACUCUACUUAUUCACCUUUAAGGUGAAUUUUUCAGCCAAUAGGCUACUUGACAAAAAAAGAAGAAGAAAGAUAACAAGAUAUUUUUGAAGAGUUUUGAAUUGAUUGAAACAAAAUAACAAUAACAUAAAUACAAUAUUUUUGAGUUUUUCUUAUAGGAACAAUUUGACAUACACUUGGUGGGAAAACACUGCAUAGAUAAACGUGGUUAAAACUUAAAAGUUGAAUUCACUUUCAUUUUCUCUUCUUGUUCAAACAAACACAAGCUAAAGUCAUAAACUCAUAUAAGAUUAGUUAUAAUUCUUUGAUUAAACUAGUUUAGAGACACAUGCAUUUGUACGGGUCCAUUGACUUUUAUUAUUCAUUAUUAAAUUAAGGUAGAAAAUUUAUUUUAGAAUAAAAUAUUUAAAAAUUUGUUAUAAAAUAUAAGUGAAAUUAUUGUGUUAUUUCUUGUAAAAUUUAAUAAAUAUAAAAAUGAAUUUAAUAAAUAAAUUUCUUGUAAAAUUUAAUAAAAAAAAUAAAAAAAUAAAAUUGUUUUAUCAAAGUUAUUGACCCAUAUACAUUUUCAAAUAAAUUAUACUUAAAUAAAUGGUCUUGCUGACGAGUGUCCCCGAGACACUCUUUAAACAUUCUAUUUAAAGAAAUUAUUAUUCUAAAAAGUGAAAUGUUUCAAUUUUCAAGUCGUUGACUUUACACAUUUUAAUAAAAACUUCAUAAAAAUCUACUUCUCCCUCCGUCCCAAAAUAAGUGUUACAGUUUGACUGUGUGCACUAUUCAUAUAAGUUACUUUGACCAUAUUUUUUUUACGAAUAUAUAAAAAUAAAUAUUAGCAUAUAAGAUUUUGUUAGAUUUUUCUCGACAAAUACUUUAAAAUAUCAAUUUUUCGCAAUUUUUAAUAAUACACAACUAAAUAUAUUAAUGUUCAAAAUUGUGUAUCAACAAAUGUGCAGUAGUCAGAUGCGACACUUAUUUAAAAUUUUACUUACCUCACGACCGAACUCUAGAUUACGAGACUUCUUUCCUUGGAAACUAGAGAGUUAAUACAAAACAGAAAGAAUUUAUAUUAGGCUAAAUUUCUCUUUUCGUCUCUUAAUUUAUUUGUUAGUUUCAUUUUGGUCCUCUCCUAAUAUUUGUUUCGUUUUGGUCCCUUAACUAUAUUUCUAUUAGUCAUUUUGGUUAUUUACGUUAGUUUUGUGCUAAAAAUGUUAACUUUCAUCCAUUUACGGUAAAAAAAAUUAUUAAAGAAAACAUAAUAAUAAAAUUUUAAGAGUUUUUUUUAAAAAUAAUAAUAAUUUUUUUCAAAAUAUUUUUUAUUAAUUUUUUAAAUUAAAAUAUUAACUGACGUGGAUUUUUAAAAAUAAAUAUAAAUUUCAUGUAUUUCCACGUGUGCAUGUCACGCCAGCAAAGAUGCACAGUCAGAUGCCCACUUGUCCAUCUAGGGGGCAAAAUGAAAAAAUCUUGACAUUGCAGGGGGUUAAACAGAAAAAAAAUCCGUACAGGAGGAUAAACGAAAAAUCUCUAAUUUUGUUCCUUAGUCUUGUCUUGACAGUUUUCAUUGCAAAAAAAGCUCUAUGUAGUUGUUGACUAAAUAAGAUCAAUCUAUUAGUUAAAUGAUAAUUUUAUGACUUUUGCACAACACAAAGUGUUAUUAUUCAGGGUGACCAAAUAUAUUUCAUUAAGGUAGCUACAUAUAAAUUUAUACAUACUAAUUAAAAAAUAGAAAAUGCUAACUAAUGCUCUCAGAAUGCUAAUUAAGAAACCAAAAGUAGUAAAAUUAUCUUAGGAUUUGUUUAGUAAGCUUUUUUAAAAUAUAAAAUAUACUACAUUUAAAUUUCUUUCGUUUAAAUUCCUUACCUAAAACCCCGAAGCAUUACUUAGCAUAACCUUUAUUAAUUUAUUUUUUUUAUAGCAAAGGCUACUAAAGCCUUUGUCUUGACUUCGUAAUUCAUCCAUUCCAACCACCACACUAACCCAUAUCUUCUAAGUUCUAAAUUAACUAAAUUUCUUAAUUUGUGUGAAAUUGUUAAAAUGACAUAUUUUAAGACCAAGUAUUUCUUAGUAUUAUAUUGAGUGGGUAUAAAUUUUCUAUCUCAUUAUCACUUCACUCUUUUAACUCUUUAACCCUAAACAACAACCACCAAAGCAUGUCUAUAACCAAGUUCAUGGAAAAUUGUUGGAUUAGAAAUAAGCAUUUAAGUUGAUUAUGACUUGGACACUAAUGGUAAAAUGUUAAAUGUAUACAUUUUUAUAAAGGGUGAGUUCUAUAAACCAGUUAGAUUACCAACUCUUAGAUAUUACAUCUUUGCAACAACAUUUUUUCUCGGUCACCAAAUCCAUUAAAAAUAAACAUUUUUAAUCCUCUAAUGCUCCUUCAAACAUAAAUUAAACUAAAACAAUUGGCCAUCAUACAUUUGAAUUUUUUGAGUAGCCAACAAGUCUCAUUACAAAAUAUAUUUUAGUCAAAGUGAAACAAAAGAAGUUGAACUAACUAAAUAUUGCAAAUACUCUCAUUCUAUAUAAGACCAUCUACGCACUCUCUCUUUGCAUCUCAUAAAAUCUCAAAGCAAAUUCUGUCUAUAUAAAUAUACUCUUAAAAUUCAUCAAACCAUCAAUGGCCUCAAGCAAAUCCUUCAUCAUACCUUUACUUCUUGUUGUGACAAUGUCAAGCAUGAGCAUCGAAGCUCGCCAUCUUUUGCAAGCAACCACACAACCAAAUUUGCCUAAUAUUCCCACUUUGCCAAAACCAACAACAUUGCCACCAUUGCCUCAAGGAAACCUUCCACCAUUGCCUACCAUUCCAUCUCUUCCUAAGCUCACCAUGCCACCGCUUCCUAGCUUUCCUACUACCAAUAUUCCGACACUUCCAUCUCUCAACAUUCCACCAUUGCCGGCAGCCACUUCACUUCCCAACUUACCUUCAUUCCCAACCACUUUCCCUUCCAUCCCAUUUCUCACCCCACCACCUUCAACCUCUAGCCCUUAAAGUCUUCCUUACUUGUUACCUUUGCAUGCAAUAGACAUUGCAUCAUUACUUUAUUGUGAGUGAUGAAAUUGUACGAGU
rnacentral:lncRNA from 1 species